GUACUUGCUUCAGUAAUACGCAUUCUAAAUUGGAACGACACAAAUUUAAGAUUAGCAUGGCCCCUGCACAAGAAUGACACUCAAAUCGUGAAGCAUUCCACAAUUUU